rnacentral:lncRNA from 14 species
CCAAAUUGACUGGGACGCCCACAGAUACCUGUGCUCCCUGAUCAAUAAAAAAUCCUCUUACAGAUUACAGCCGGUGGACUCGGACUGGUCAUUGGGGCUUGAGGAUCUCCCUCCUGAGAGAAGAUUCUCUCUGAGAGUCUUACAUAUGGGGGCUCGUCCGGGAUCGGAGAUCCUCUGCCUAGAGACCACCGACCACCCACCGGGAGACUGUUACAGGUCUUCUUUACCACUGAGGAAAGACGGAAUCCUACUAGAGGCCAAAAAGAAUGUUCCAGACAUGGAUAGAAGACCCUCACUCCUGACUGUUGACUUGAAUACCCCUGAAGGAAUAGGUAGAAGCUUUCCCCACCAAGCAAGAGACGGCCUCAAUAGUCAUCAAGAAGAUACUAGAAGAAAUCUUCCACAGGUCUGGAGUGCCCAAGGCUAAAAGACCUACAGGUGAUACAGAAAGAAAUCUGCUCACAGCUGACAGCAGCCUAUGCCCCGGAGACCCCUGAGACAUGUCAUCAGUUCCAGGUCGGAGACUACAGCUACACUGAGCCCAGACACUCGAGCCUCGCUGGAAAGGACCGUACCUGGUGCUGCUGACCACCCUGACAGCCGUCAAUUCUCAGCCCUCACCAGCCGUGUACUAGCUGUUGGGGCUGAGAGCUGGGACCUAGAGGGACUCUCAGAUCUUCAAA